rnacentral:rRNA from 1 species
UACAGAGGUGCCGAGCGUUAGGCGGAAUCACUGGGCUUAAAGCGCGCGUAGGCGGACGGGUAAGUACCUUGUGAAAUCCCACGGCUCAACCGUGGAACGGCUGGGUAUACUGCCCGUCUUGAGGCACUCAGGGGCGAGCGGAACAAAUGGUGGAGCGGUGAAAUGCGUAGAUAUCAUUUGGAACGCCGACGGUGAAAACAGCUCGCUGGGGGUGUCCUGACGCUGAGGCGGCGAAAGCGUGGGGAGCGAACAGG